rnacentral:rRNA from 1 species
CCCUUAGAUGUCCUGGGCCGCACGCGCGCUACACUGAUGCAUUCAACGAGUUUUACCUUGGCCGAGAGGCCUGGGCAAUCUUUUAAACCUGCAUCGUGAUAGGGAUAGAUUAUUGCAAUUUUUAAUCUUGAACGAGGAAUUCCUAGUAAACGCAAAUCAUCAAUUUGCAUUGAUUACGUCCCUGCCCUUUGUACACACCGCCCGUCGCACCUACCGAUUGAAUGGUCCGGUGAAGCCUCGGGAUUGUGGCCAGUUCACUUUAUUGGGAGUUGGCUGUGAGAACUUGUCUAAACCUUAUCACUUAGAGGAAGGUGAAGUCGUAACA